ACGGAAGGCAGCAGUGGGGAAUAUUGGGCAAUGGGCGAAAGCCUGACCCAGCAACGCCGCGUGAAGGAAGAAGGUCUUCGGAUUGUAAACUUCUUUUAUGAGGGACGAAGGACGUGACGGUACCUCAUGAAUAAGCCACGGCUAACUACGUGCCAGCAGCCGCGGUAAUACGUAGGUGGCAAGCGUUAUCCGGAUUUACUGGGUGUAAAGGGCGCGUAGGCGGGAGAGCAAGUCAGAUGUGAAAUCCAUGGGCUUAACCCAUGAACUGCAUUUGAAACUGUUCUUCUUGAGUGCUGGAGAGGUAGACGGAAUUCCUUGUGUAGCGGUGAAAUGCGUAGAUAUUAGGAAGAACACCAGUGGCGAAGGCGGUUAGCUGGACAGUAACUGACGCUGAGGCGCGAAAGCGUGGGUAGCAAACAGGAUUAGAUACCCUGGUA
rnacentral:rRNA from 1 species